AUGGGGUCAAGGUCUGCGCAGUCUGUGCCCGUUAGGAGAUCCCGGCCACUUCCACCCCUGGCCAACGGGAUGGGGCCGAGGGCUGCACAGUCUGGGCACGCUAGGAUUUCCCAGCCACUUCCAACCCUCUCUACCGGGAUGGGGCUGAGGGCUGCACAGUCUGGGCACGCUAGGAUUUCCCAGCCACUUCCACCCCUCUCCACUGGGAUGGGGCCGAUGGCUACGCAGUCAGGGCCUGCUAGGAUUUCCUGGCCACUUCCACCCCUUGACACUGGGACAGGGUCGAGGGCUGUGCACUCUGGGCCUGCUAGGAUUUCGCGGCCACUUCCACCCCUUGCCACCAGGACAGGGCCGAGGGCUGUGCUAUCUGGGCCCGUUAGGAGAUUCCAGCCCAUUCCAGCCCUGGCCACUGGGAUGGGGCUGAGGCCUACGAAGUCUGGGCCUGCUAGGAUUUCCCCGCCGCUUCCACUCCUCUCCACCAGGAGGGGGCCGAGGGCUGUGCUCUCUAGGCCUGCUAGGAGAUCCUGGCCACUUCCAGCCCUGGCCACUGGGAUGGGGUCGAGGUCUGCCCACUCUGGGCCUGCUAGGAGAUCCUGGCCACUUCCACCCCUGGCCCCUGGGAGGGGGUCAAGGGCUGUGCAGUCUGGGCCCGCUAGGAUUUCCCAGCCACUUCCAGCACUCUCCACUGUGAUGGGGCCGAGGGCUGCGCAGUUUGAGCCUGCUAGCAUUUCCCGGCCACUUCCUCCCCUCUCCACUGGGGUGGGGCCGAGGGCUAUGGAGUUUGAACCUGCUAGGAUUUCCCGGCCAAUUCCACCCCUCACCACCAGGAGGGGGCCGAGGGCUGCGCCGUCUGAGCCCGUUAGGAUUUCCCGGCCACUUCCACCCCUUGUCACCGGGACAGGGUCGAGGCCCGUGCACUCUGAGCCCACUAGGAUUUCCUGGCCACUUCCACGCCUCGCCACUGGGAGGGGGUCGAGGGCCGCACACUCUGAGCCCACUAGGAUUUGA
rnacentral:lncRNA from 1 species